GAGGUUAUAGCUCAAGUAGUAGAGCGCAGGCUUAGCAUGCGUGCAUGAGGUCCUGGGUUCAAUCCCCAGUACCUCCU
rfam:Camelus ferus unplaced genomic scaffold scaffold795, whole genome shotgun sequence.